UACGGAGGAUGCAAGCGUUAUCCGGAAUGAUUGGGCGUAAAGCGUCCGCAGGUGGCUGUGUAAGUCUGCUGUCAAAGAGCGAAGCGCAACUUCGUAAAGGCAGUGGAAACUACACGGCUAGAGUGCGUUCGGGGCAGAGGGAAUUCCUGGUGUAGCGGUGAAAUGCGUAGAGAUCAGGAAGAACACCGGUGGCGAAGGCGCUCUGCUAGGCCGCAACUGACACUGAGGGACGAAAGCUAGGGGAGCGAAUGGG
rnacentral:rRNA from 1 species